CAGCAGCCGCGGUAACACGUAGGGUGCGAGCGUUAAUCGGAAUUACUGGGCGUAAAGCGUGCGCAGGCGGUUUUGUAAGACAGGCGUGAAAUCCCCGGGUUCAACCUGGGAAUGGCGCUUGUGACUGCAAAGCUAGAGUGCGGCAGAGGGGGAUGGAAUUCCGCGUGUAGCAGUGAAAUGCGUAGAUAUGCGGAGGAACACCGAUGGCGAAGGCAAUCCCCUGGGCCUGCACUGACGCUCAUGCACGAAAGCGUGGGGAGCAAACAGGAUUAGAUACCCGGGUAGUCCCUGUCUCUUAUAC
rnacentral:rRNA from 1 species